AACGAACGCUGGCGGCAUGCCUAACACAUGCAAGUCGAACGAGACCUUCGGGUCUAGUGGCGCACGGGUGCGUAACGCGUGGGAACCUGCCCUUAGGUUCGGAAUAACUCCCCGAAAGGGGUGCUAAUACCGGAUAAUGUCUUCGGACCAAAGAUUUAUCGCCUUUGGAUGGGCCCGCGUUGGAUUAGCUAGUUGGUAGGGUAAAAGCCUACCAAGGCGACGAUCCAUAGCUGGUCUGAGAGGAUGAUCAGCCACACUGGGACUGAGACACGGCCCACACUCCUACGGGGGGGAGGAGUAGGGAAUAUUAGGGGAUGGGCGAAAGCCUGAUCCAGCAAUGCCGGGUAAGUGAGGAAGGCCUUAGGGUUGUAAAGCUCUUUUACCCGGGAUGAUAAUGACAGUACCGGGAGUAUAAGCUCCGGCUAACUCCGUG
rnacentral:rRNA from 1 species